rnacentral:tRNA from 1 species
GGUGGGGUGGCUGAGAGCCCAAGCGGUGGAUUGUAGCCCCACAGACAGAGGUUGGACCCCUCUCCCCACCA